rnacentral:tRNA from 1 species
AUCUUUUUGGUGUAAAAAGCAUUUUCUACUUCCAAUAGAAAGGUCAAAAAUUAUUUGAAAAGAUA